rnacentral:rRNA from 1 species
CCUACGGGAGGCAGCAGUGAGGAAUAUUGGUCAAUGGGCGCGAGCCUGAACCAGCCAAGUAGCGUGAAGGAUGACUGCCCUACGGGGUGUAAACUUCUUUUAUAAAGGAAUAAAGUGAGGCACGUGUGCCUUUUUGUAUGUACUUUAUGAAUAAGGAUCGGCAAACUCCGUGCCAGCAGCCGCGGUAUAACGGAGGUUCCGAGCGUUAUCCGGAUUUUUUGGGUUAAAGGGUGGGGUAGAUGGGUUGUUAGUCAAGUUGUGAAAGUUUGCGGUUAACCGGUAGAAUUGCAAUUGAUACUGGCAGUCUUGAGUACAGUUGAGGUAGGCGGAAUUCGUGGUGUAGCGGUGAAAUGCUUAGAUAUCACGAAGAACUCCGAUUGCGAAGGCAGCUUACUAAACUGCCACUGACAUUGAUGCUCGAAAGUGUGGGUAUCAAACAGGAUUAGAUACCCUUGUAGUC